rnacentral:lncRNA from 1 species
GCCCAUGUGAGCUCAGCAUCCACUUGUGCUCAGUAUUCAGCUCCCUGUGUUCUAAUAACUGCUCCCCACUCAGACGAAGGGCACUCAGACUUUCUAUGGUGGCAGCCCCAGGGUACUACAGCAACAUCUGUGGAUAUCCCUGAUGGUUUCCCAUAAUAUUAUGAAUAAUGGCUAUAUUAAUUUCUCCUCAUUUGACUAGCUUUCAUAUGCCAUCCACUUCCUGCUGGGACCACUAAGACAUUCUGUGUCUCACAUCUCCAGUUUCAUGGGCUGGAUCCUGAUUAGGCUAACCUAAUCACAGUAUCCCAUUUACCAUUCAUCAGUUGAAACACCCAGAGUUAAGGCAAUUCCUCUAUGGCAUUCCAUUAAGAAAUCGUUUUGAUAUAGAGAUGAACACCUGAAUUACAUUGGUCCAUUAGACGGAAGGGACCAGGGAAGCACUUGACCUCAGCUUCUGCCAGCAGCCAUCUUGUGAGCAAGAGGAAAGACCCCAUGAAUACAAAGUCAACAUGCUUAUAGGGCAGAGGACAGAAUAGUGACAUGGAGCCCUGAUGGUCAUAUCUAUGGGCUUAC